GGCAGCCCCCUAUGGUGUCUCUGUGUGCGCAGAGCCCCUGCUUUGAAUGCAGAAGGUCUCAGGUUCAAUUUGUGGCAGCGUCUCCAGGUAGGAGAAUGAUUCCUGCCUACAAUCCUGGAGAACAUUGUUGGCAUCCAUCUCAAGAGACAAUGGAGUGCACUUCUGGGGGUGAAGUCAAAAGGCUGCGUUAGCAGCACCAAGGUAACCUCCCCAGGGUGCAAGCCUGGGCAGCGUGUAGGGAGGUUCUGGGCUGCCCAGAUGACAAGACCCCCGUCUUGGCCUCGCUGAUGUGGUCCAAAGGAAAGCAGAGCAAUAUGUUUGGCACCAACUUGGCUGCAGGAGGUAGGUGUACAUGGCGUCACUCAACUUUGGGACUCCACUCGGGAUUUGUGUUGGGUUUACUCCAUAGCUAUUUCUUCUCCUGAAGAUAUCCCACAAGGCAGGGGAGGUUUAGGAUCAGAGUUUUCCUUCUCCUCGAUGGGCUACCUUCCCACGUUGACGAAUCCCAUCUGCCCUUCACUUCCCUCCUCAGCACAUACAGAAAUGAUCUUCUUCUUCUCCAAUUUUUUAAAAUUGAUUUUCACAACAUUAUAAACAAACACAUAAAACAAACAAACAUAAAUCAUAACCUUAUUAAAAAUUACACUUAUUAACAUUAUUAAGUGACUUCCUCACUUCCCCUUGGUUGAAUUUCAUUGCAUGUCCUUUUAACGGUUUUCCAAAUCAUAGUUCUUAAAAUAAUUUACCGGUAACUUAAACAUUGACAUCUUCUUGAUCAUUGGACCCACUAUUGGUCUCAUCUGCCAGAGCAUGUCUUUGCAUGUAGGGGAAGUCGCCAACUGUGGAGUUUGUACAGAGCUCCCGGUCAUUUCCCAGACUAUUGACUUGUACACCACUACUUUAUUCUUCUGCUGCCACCAAUUUUGUGGGGGGAAACCCAGGGCUCUCCAGUGAAGUACUGAGUCUUAGUCAGGUAAAGUUAACAAUGAAGAUUAAAUUUUAUUUCAAACACAAACGAGUUUUAAAAUAUAUUCAAAAUGCUGCCACUCUAUUCCCUCUCAGGCUUGUCCCUGUCUCUAACUCACUCUGACUCCUCUAUCCCCCCCUCCCCCAAAGAGAACCAACAGAACUAACUGUCAAAUCCUCUGGGCUGAGCCUCAAAAUCAGGUAGGCUCCGCCUCCGGGCUUUCUUAUUGGUCAACCUAUUAACCCUUUAGGGACGCGGGUGGUGCUGUGGGUUAAACCACAGAGCCUAGGACUUGCCGAUCAGGCCAGAAGGUUGGCAGUUUGAAUCCCCGCGACGGGGUGAGCUCCUGUUGCUUGGUCCCUGCUCCUGCCAACCUAGCAGUUCAAAAGCACGUCAAAAGUGCAAGUAGAUAAAUAGGUAUCGCUCCGGCGGGAAGGUAAACAGAAUUUCUGUGCACUGCUCUGGUUCACCAGAAGCGGCUUAGUCAUGCUGGCCACAUGAUCCAGAAGCUGUACGCCGGCUCCCUCGGCCAAUAAAGUGAAAUGAGUGCCGCAACCCCAGAGUCGGCCACGACUGGACUUAAUGGUCAGGGGUCCCGUUACCUUAUUAACCCUUUGUCUCCCCCAACACAAACGUAUCCCCAAAGAAUGGGCAAACGCCACACCAACUCACCAAGGUUUUGAGACCCAUCAGCUACCCUCACCUGGUUUAGCCAGCCAAUCAAAGCCUUUCCCGGGGUGUGGCUACCGUUGCAUGCUGACAGCUUCUGGGAGCCACAGGUGAGAGCUGAGUGUAAGGCGAGGACAAAAAAUGGACAGAUUACCCCAGAAGGAGCACAAUAUGCCUCCCCUCUAGAGGUUCUACCCCCUCCCCUAACACCCUAUACACCCCUGCAGCAAGACAAUACAGACAGUAUUGAACUGGGUGGACCAAGGCAGCCUACUUUGUUCCUAUGGCAACCUCAAGGCAACAGCAAGAAUGGAC